UACGGAGGGGGCUAGCGUUGUUCGGAAUUACUGGGCGUAAAGCGCACGUAGGCGGCUUUGUAAGUUAGAGGUGAAAGCCCGGGGCUCAACUCCGGAAUUGCCUUUAAGACUGCACCGCUAGAAUUGUGGAGAGGUAAGUGGAAUUCCGAGUGUAGAGGUGAAAUUCGUAGAUAUUCGGAAGAACACCAGUGGCGAAGGCGACUUACUGGACACAUAUUGACGCUGAGGUGCGAAAGCGUAGGGAGCAAACAGG
rnacentral:rRNA from 1 species